rnacentral:rRNA from 1 species
GGCGGCGUGCUUAACACAUGCAAGUCGAACGGGGAUUAGUUGAUAGAGAGCUUCGGCAGGAAAUCGAUUGAUUCGAGUGGCGACGGGUGAGUAACGCGUGAGCAACCUGUCCCAGACAGGGGGAUAACACUUGGAAACAGGUGCUAAUACCGCAUAAGACCACGGGAUCACAUGGUUCUGGGGUAAAAGGAGCAAUCCGGUUUGGGGUGGGCUCGCGUCCGAUUAGCCAGUUGGCGGGGUAACGGCCCACCAAAGCGACGAUCGGUAGCCGACCUGAGAGGGUGAACGGCCACAUUGGAACUGAGAGACGGUCCAAACUCCUACGGGAGGCAGCAGUGGGGAAUAUUGGGCAAUGGGCGAAAGCCUGACCCAGCAACGCCGCGUGAGUGAAGAAGGCCUUCGGGUUGUAAAGCUCUGUUAUAGUUGACGAAGGAAGUGACGGUAGGCUAUAAGGAAGCCCCGGCUAACUACGUGCCAGCCGCCGC